rnacentral:misc_RNA from 1 species
UCUCCGUUGGUGAACCAGCGGAGGGUUCAUUACCGACUUAUCAACUCCCAAACCCUUGUGAACAUACCCAACGUUGCUUCGGCGGGACCGCCCCGGCGCCCUCGGCGUCCCGGCACCAGGGGCCCGCCGGAGGACCCAAACUCUUGCUUAAACCAUAGUCGCAUGUUCUGAGUCUCACAAGAAAAAUGGAUCAAAACUUUCAACAACGGAUCUCUUGGCUCUG